GAGGGGCAGCGGGGAGGAAGCUUGCUUUCUCCGCCGGCGACCGGCGCACGGGUGAGUAACACGUAUGCAACCUGCCCCUGUCAGGGGGACAACCCGCCGAAAGGCGGGCUAAACCCGCGUACAUGCCACCGGGGCAUCCCGGAGGCAGGAAAGGCUUCGGCCGGACAGGGAUGGGCAUGCGGCGCAUUAGGCAGUAGGCGGGGUAACGGCCCACCUAACCGACGAUGCGUAGGGGUUCUGAGAGGAAGGUCCCCCACACUGGUACUGAGACACGGACCAGACUCCUACGGGAGGCAGCAGUGAGGAAUAUUGGUCAAUGGUCGGGAGACUGAACCAGCCAAGCCGCGUGAGGGAGGAAGGUACAGAGUAUCGUAAACCUCUUUUGUCAGGGAACAAAGACUGGGACGCGUCCCCGGAUGAGUGUACCUGAAGAAAAAGCAUCGGCUAACUCCGUGCCAGCAGCCGCGGUAAUACGGAGGAUGCGAGCGUUAUCCGGAUUUAUUGGGUUUAAAGGGUGCGCAGGCGGUCUGUUAAGUCAGCGGUCAAAGCCCGGGGCUCAACCCCGGCCCGCCGUUGAAACUGGCAGUCUCGAGUUGGAGAGAAGUAUGCGGAAUGCGCGGUGUACCGGUGAAAUGCAUAGAUAUCGCGCAGAACUCCGAUUGCGAAGGCAGCAUGCCGGCUCCACACUGACGCUGAGGCACGAAAGCGUGGGUAUCGAACAGGAUUAGAUACCCUGGUAGUCCACGCAGUAAACGAUGAAUGCUGGCUGUCCGGGGGGACUGACCCCUGGGUGGCGAAGCGAAAGCGAUAAGCAUUCCACCUGGGGAGUACGCCGGCAACGGUGAAACUCAAAGGAAUUGACGGGGGCCCGCACAAGCGGAGGAACAUGUGGUUUAAUUCGAUGAUACGCGAGGAACCUUACCCGGGCUCAAACGGGGAGUGCCGCAGGCAGAGACGCCUGUUUCCCACGGGACACUCCCCGAGGUGCUGCAUGGUUGUCGUCAGCUCGUGCCGUGAGGUGUCGGCUUAAGUGCCAUAACGAGCGCAACCCCCGCGUGCAGUUGCUAACAGAUAACGCUGAGGACUCUGCACGGACUGCCGGCGCAAGCCGCGAGGAAGGCGGGGAUGACGUCAAAUCAGCACGGCCCUUACGUCCGGGGCGACACACGUGUUACAAUGGGUGGUACAGCGGGAAGCCAGGCGGCGACGCCGAGCGGAACCCGAAAUCCACUCUCAGUUCGGAUCGGAGUCUGCAACCCGACUCCGUGAAGCUGGAUUCGCUAGUAAUCGCGCAUCAGCCAUGGCGCGGUGAAUACGUUCCCGG
rnacentral:rRNA from 1 species